GGGAUGAAUGAAGCCAGAUAGGGCUGUCACCAAGAAUCACAGCCUGCACAGCCUGUCCGAGGUGGGACCUUUCCCCUUGCUCUCCAAAGGCACUCAGCACUCCCUGCAGGAUGUGUGCACAGGCUUUGUACUCAGAGGAACCACGAUGAACCUUGAAGACCUCCUUGUACUAUUCCUUCAGGAAAAUGGAAGUUGAAGAUCCCGGAGGCUCUGAAGACUUUGCAUGGCCCUGACCCUCCCAUCCUUCCCAGCUGGGUGUGCACAUCCCUCUGGGGCCCCCCUCCCUCCCUGCUACCUGUAAUAUACAGGUGGCUCAUUAAAGAAGUAGAGCUGCAGCCCCAUCCAGAAGUACCAUGUAAAGCAUAAAGUGGAUUUUGGAAACAGCAAAGCCCUUUGUUUUGUUUCAGUGCCAUGAACUUUAUUCUCCCUUCCCCACUGCCCGGGCAGCACAACCCCACGGUGCUGCAUGGGGGUGCACGGGGAUGCCUCGCCAUGGGGAGCCCCCUAGGCCAUGGGGCUUAGUGCCAGCUUAGAGUGAUCUCAUUUUCACAGCCGAAAAGCCUCCAUAAGUCAUCAGCUUUUGUAGGAAAUGCUAAUAAAGCCACAAACUCUGCAAGGAAAAGGACUGGGACUGUCAGCCCCAUCCACUUUCCUCCCAGACUGAACUUUGCCAGUGCCUCCCAGGCACAGCUGCCUCUCCCCUGGCCAAAAUAUUUUCAGCCCAGGACAAGCUGGGGACACACUGGUGGGCAGCAAGCACUUGGUCCUGGGACAGCCACUUCUGCCGUGCCACCAACGUGCCACCAAUUUCCUCUCGGUGCCAGGCAGCCCAGAGAACUUCAGCUGCACCCAGCUCAGCCCGCCUGUGCUGGCAGGGAGAUGAAAACUCGGCAGCAAAACCAAGCUCUGUGUGUUCGGGGAAAGAGCUCGUGGAGAAGCGACAGGGAAUGGCCUCGCCGUGACCCCAGCCUCAAACACGCCAGCUUUGAAGAAGUCUCUAAAAAAGCUUUCGUGCCAGUCCCGUGACUGCAAACCCCAGCGCUCCCUGCGUUCCAGCAGCUUCAUCUCCCUACCUGCUCCGUGCAAGGUGAGGCGAAGCCCCUCGCUCACCCCUGCACAUUGCAUGUGCUUCUCUCUACAGCCCAAACCCUGCCCCUGCAAUGAACCCUGCCCCGUCUGAACCCUGCCCCUGAAAUAUUUUCCUGUGCCGAGGUGGGCUGCUUCAUCUGGCACAGCCAGAGCAAAGCUGACCAGUGCCAAGGGCUGGAGCAUCUCCUCGCCCCCAGCAAAGCACAGGCCAGCCCCAGGGUGUUCCCAUAGGGUGCCGGCUGCUUCCAGGGACAUUUCGGAGCACUCCUGAGCUCUCCAGAGCUCCGAUGGGAUUCUGGCUGAUGGAUGCUGGAUGGGACAGAACAAAGCUGCUGUGCCAGUUGUCACCAGGAAGCCUUGUACAUUAUAUCGCAAAUUAACUGAAAUAAUGGAGGUUGUGCAAAUGCACUUGGUCCUAGCAGGAUCCUAGGGUCCUAGCUGUGACUAAACUCACUUUGUCUUUAGCUUUGAAGUUUUCCCCACUGACCAAAGGCAGAGGGUUGUGUUGUUUAUCCUGUGCGGGAAGGCAUCAUUUUGCAGACACCUUGGUGCUUCCUUUUUCGGGUUGCUUGCAAGUUUAUCCAGAACGUGGCCAUGCUGGCAUCACCCUCCCAGACCCCAUGCGAUGACUUCUGAAGCCUCCUCAUCCAUCACCCCUGCGGGCACCAGUGCAGACACAGUCUCCUCUCCUGGCCCACCCUGCAAAACUCCAGCACGUGUGACCUGGCAUCAUGCUCAGCUGCCUUGCCUGCUCACUGCUGCCUUAUUCCUGCCUUCGAGUCCAAUGCUGGAGAGCUGCUGAAGCCAGGUACCCUGUAGGUGUCCCUGAAAUUGCUUGUGUGAGGGGGGAGAGCACGGGGGGGCUCGCGUAAUUGAAACAAUCCUUCUCUCAAUCACCGUUCUGCAAUGUUUAUGCCUCACGCUUUGCCUCUGAUGUCGAGAGCAAGCUGAUAGCCACGGUAUUAAUAAGUUGUUUGUACAAUAAUUGCUGCUUAAGAUAAAUGAUUCAUAAAGUCCUACCAUGGUCUUGGAAAUGGUGUAAACAGGGAGAGCAGCUGGAGGACAGCCGUGGGAUGCUAAUGAGAGACCACCACGGGGAAGUAAAUAUAUGAAGACUGGGGAGAAGGGGGAUUAAUCCAGCCCCAAGUGCUAGAGAGCAUCCCGCUUCCAGAGCUCACCUGCAGCACAGAAGCAGAGCUGUCCAGCUCAGUGGGUCAUUAGACCUGAAAUAAGAUGUUGCAAGAGUCACUAGAAACUAGAAAAAGCCUGGGGAUGGGGUGAGCAGCAGGUGUGUGCUGUGCUGCCUCUCUUCUUCCACCCAUCUCCAGACCCUCUCCAGCGACAGCGCUGCCGGGUGCUGCGAGCAGGACCCAUGAAGGUGGAGCUGCCAGUCCAGGAGGUUAAAUUAGAGCUGUUGUGAGCUGCUGCUUCACUGGGAAAUCACAGCAUGAAGUUUAGAGCUGGCUGACUGGCUCCAAGCAGGAACCAGAGGGGCCUAUGGAAGCCUUUAGUCCAGAGGUGGGUGAAACACGGGGCUGUGCUCCUGAGCUGCUCCCAGCUGGGCUGUGGCAGAGGGAAAUGCUGAUGGUGCCAGGGCACUGACACCCUCCUGCCAGCAUCAUCCCACCAGGUGCAGUGUUAAGAGGGGACAAGAGAUGGCAGCAGCCCCCACCACUGCCAGCAUCCCUGCAGAAAGG
rnacentral:lncRNA from 1 species